GGAACCGCACAAGCGGUGGAGCAUGUGGUUUAAUUUGAUGAUACGCGUAUAACCUUACCUACACUUGACAUCCAACUAAGGCCUAAGAGAUUAGGAGAUAUAGAGUUGAGACAGGUGGUGCAUGGCCGUCGUCAGUUCGUGUCGUGAGAUGUUCAGUUAAGUCUGGCAACGAACGUAACCCUUGCCACUAUUUGCUAACAUUAAGUUGAGGACUAUAGUGGGACUGCCUGGGCAACCAGGAGGAAGAUGAGGACGACGUCAGGUCAUCAUGCCCCUUAUGUGUAGGGCUACACACGUGCUACAAUGGGUACUACAAUUAGAAGCAAGAUGGCAACAUGGAGCAAAUCUACAAAGGUACUCUCAGUUCAGAUAGGAGUCUGCAACUCGACUCCUUGAAGUCGGAAUCGCUAGUAAUCGUGAAUC
rnacentral:rRNA from 1 species